GGGCCGACCUGAGCACCUGGUGCUUUAUCCCGGCUCAUCCGAAAGCGCGCGACCUCACCCGUCAGGGGAGUAUUGAUCGAGCUGGAAACAGAGGUGGGAGGCUCCGACGUGAGUCACAAGCAGGCUGAGCGCACAGUCAGCUUAAGGUCAUGCCAAACGCCAACGCAGGUGAAUUUGGCGUCUACCGUGUGUGUGAGCGUGGGGAACCAAAAAACUUGUUCCGUUAAGAGACACAGAGGCACGACAACUCGCCUCUGGAAUCUCAAAACAGAGUUGUCACUCUGCCAAAUGCAAGAUGCUCAGAAUAAUCGGCUGCAUUCAAGUUUCACUUUCACCUCAAACGCCUAUUGCAGUGUUUCUCAAUUGCGGUCCUCACGGCCCCCCCUGCCCUGCAUGUUUUAGGUGUUUUCCUUCUGCCACGCACCUGGAUUGAAUAUUUUGGUGAUUAACAGGCUUCUGCAGUACUUGAUGGUCAUGCGAUCAUUUGAAUCAGUUGUUCUGGAGUAGAGGCACAUCUAAAACAUGCAGAGCAGGGGGGCUGAAUCAAAACGCUGCUAUGAAAGCUCACACCAGUGAUGCUGUUUAAAACAUUGUGAUCUUAUUAACAUUACGGGACAGACUGUUCUGUGUGAUUACAACUAUUACUAAGCUAAUUGUUUAAUAAAGCAUUUCGGUGACUUAACCCUCCUGUUAUGUUGCAGGUCAAAUUGA